rnacentral:lncRNA from 1 species
GGCAGGGGCCACAAGGUAAGGAAUGUAGGCAGCUUCUAGAACCCAUGAAAGGAUAGAGAAUGGAUUGUCCCCUAGAGCCUCGAGAAUGAAUGCGUCCUUGCCUAGAUCUUGAUGAUAGCCCAGGGAAACCCAUUCCAGAUUUCUGAACUUCAGAACUGUCAAACUGUUCUCACUGGAUCAAGAACUGUGUUAUCUGAAUUGAUUUGCAAAUUCUGUGGUCCUUCAAGACCUAAAAUCCAGAAAAAGAGCCCAAAAGACCAGAAAAAGAAUUUAAACUCUGUCCCCUCAAGGGGUCAGAUACAUACAGACUGUGUGACAAACUAGAGGUCCCCAAGGGUCAAGCUGCAGAGAAAGAGAAUGAGGAAGAUCCCUGAAAGAGAGUCACCAUGAGUGAAGACACUCUGGCCCAGUGGACCAGAUCCAGCCGGAGCACCUGAAUAUUGGAAGACAAGAGGUUCCAGGCGUUUGUUCCAAUCACUUUGGAAAAACAGUUCCAGAAUCGUCCCCAGCCCCGGCUGGCACAGCAGCAUCCUCAUUUGUAUGCUGCAGCUUUGUCUAGCAGAAGACAUUCUGCAGCGCCAUUCCUGACUGCUCUCCACCGCGGUAAGGAGCUAUGCAGAGCUGAUCGCACAGGCUCUCCUGCACAGUUUGUUUUUCUUGCUGUCUGUCUCGCCAUGAACUCGCAAAG